GAGAGGUGUCCGAGUGGUCGAAGGUGCUUGACUCGAAAUCAAGUGUACAGCAAUGUACCGUGGGUUCGAAUCCCACCCUCUCC
rnacentral:tRNA from 1 species